rnacentral:ribozyme from 1 species
UGUAUUUGUUUGCUCUGUAAUGGGAUGGGAUCCGAAACCCCAGUGAGGGAUAAUACCGGCUCUCCCAUCCAACUCCUAUUCCGACACGUCCUCGUCGUGCAGAGUGGUAACAUGUGUCACCAUGUAGCAUAGGUUCGACACCCGACACUAUUAGACUUAGCAAAUUAGAAUUAG